AGAGUUUGAUCUUGGCUCUGAAUGAACCCUAGCAACCGGCUUUAGACAUGCAAAUCGAGUGUUUAAAUCCACAACAUCGUCCAUUACGGAUGUUAUUGAUGAUGAUUUAAAAACGGUGUACGAGUGAGUAAUUAAUAUGAAGCUAUCCACGAGAUACGGUAACUCCGUUCUACGAAAAAAUUUGCUUGUGGAGGCGCAUAUUAAGGAUUAGGAAUGUUGGUGGGAUAAUAGCUUACCAAACCGAGAAUCCUUAGUCAUCUUUAGAGGGAGAAUGGCCACGCCGGAACUGAAACAAGGUCCGGGCUCAUCUGAGCCAGCAGUCGGGAAUAUUGGACAAUGAGCGAAAGCUUGAUCCAGCAAGGUUGCGUGAGGGAAGAAGGUCAAUUGACCGUAAACCUCUUUCAUCGAGGAAGAAUUAUGACAGUACUCGAAAAAGAAGCUCCAGCCAAUCUCGUGCCAGCAGCUGCGGUAAUACGGGAGGAGCGAGGGUUAUUCAUGAUGAUUGGGUGUAAAGCAGGACAAGGCGAUAAGUACAAGUUUUAUCUUUACCAAAAGCUUCACUUGAGGAAAAAUUUAAAAAACUAACUUAACAGAGGAAUUAUAGAGUUGAAUGCGGAACUAUCGGGGUAGAGGUGUAAUUCGUUUCAUCUCGAUAGGAACACCAAAGGCGAAAAGCAGCCAACUACUAAUUACCUGCCGCUCUACCUGUAAUCUGAGGUAGCAAACCGGAUUAGAUACCCGGGUAGUCUCAGACGUCAACGAUGGACGCUCGUUGGGAAUUCCAUAAAUAAUAUUAUUUAUGCUCCUAACUCAGCUAACGCGUAAGCGUCCCACCUAGUAAGUACACCCGCAAGGGUGAAAACUAAAUAGAAUAGGCUGUGCUAUAAACGACCAGAGGAACAUGCAACUUAAUUUGAUAUUACGCGACAAACCUUACCUAGGCUUGUAUUUUUGUUGAAGGGAGAUAUACGUUAAGCGCACAUCUACUGACCCUACAUAUUUAUGUGUGUAUGGUCUAUAAACAAAAACACGUUUUGCAUGAUCGUAUUCAGCUCGAUGUUGUGAAAUGUUAGGUUAAGUCCUUUAACGAGCGCAACCCAUGUCUUUAGUUGGAAUAAAUGAUAUUGAAAUAUUAAUUUAUUAAGAGUUGGCAGUUUUAAUUGCUACUUAACCUCUCUAGAGAAACUGCCGUGGAAAAAGCGGAGGAAGGAGUGGAUGACUACAGAUCACCAUGAACGUUAUGCUUAGGGCUGUAAGCGUGUUACAAUCGAAUUGACAAAGGGAAGCAACGAAGAAAUUCAUUGCGAAUCCUUAAACAAUUUCGUUAAUUAGGAUCGAAGGCUGCAACUCGCCUUCGUGAAUCUGGAUUUGGAAGUAAUCGUGGAGGAGUGCGCCACGGUGAAUAGGAAAAUAUAGCAAUUACUUCUUGCCCAGCACGCCUCAAGAGUGAAUUUAAUUAAAGGUUAAAACGCACAGAUGCGCGUUGCGUGUUUGUUUUUUCGA
rnacentral:rRNA from 1 species